rnacentral:rRNA from 1 species
AAAUUGAAGAGUUUGAUCAUGGCUCAGAUUGAACGCUGGCGGCAGGCCUAACACAUGCAAGUCGAGCGGCAGCGGGAAAGUAGCUUGCUACUUUUGCCGGCGAGCGGCGGACGGGUGAGUAAUGCCUGGGGAUCUGCCCAGUCGAGGGGGAUAACAGUUGGAAACGACUGCUAAUACCGCAUACGCCCUACGGGGGAAAGGAGGGGACCUUCGGACCUUUCGCGAUUGGAUGAACCCAGGUGGGAUUAGCUAGUUGGUGAGGUAAUGGCUCACCAAGGCGACGAUCCCUAGCUGGUCUGAGAGGAUGAUCAGCCACACUGGAACUGAGACACGGUCCAGACUCCUACGGGAGGCAGCAGUGGGGAAUAUUGCACAAUGGGGGAAACCCUGAUGCAGCCAUGCCGCGUGUGUGAAGAAGGCCUUCGGGUUGUAAAGCACUUUCAGCGAGGAGGAAAGGUUGGUAGCUAAUAACUGCCAGCUGUGACGUUACUCGCAGAAGAAGCACCGGCUAACUCCGUGCCAGCAGCCGCGGUAAUACGGAGG